GGAAUAUUGCACAAUGGGCGAAAGCCUGAUGCAGCAACGCCGCGUGCGUGAUGAAGGCCUUCGGGUCGUAAAGCGCUUUUAGAGGGGAUGAAUCAAGACAGUACCUUCAGAAUAAGGAUCGGCUAACUACGUGCCAGCAGCCGCGGUAAAACGUAGGAUCCGAGCGUUAUCCGGAAUCACUGGGCGUAAAGGGCGUGUAGGCGGUUUAGCAAGUCGGUCAUGAAAGCUCCCGGCUCAACUGGGAGAGGUUGUUCGAUACUGCUAGACUAGAGGGCAAGAGAGGGAGGUGGAAUUCCCGGUGUAGAGGUGAAAUGCGUAGAUAUCGGGAGGAACACCAGUGGCGAAGGCGGCCUCCUGGCUUGCACCUGACGCUGAGACGCGAAAGCGUGGGGAGCGAACGGGAUUAGAAACCCCGGUAGUCCACGCCGUAAACGAUGUCAACUAGGUGUCGGUGGUAUAAAAUCCGUCGGUACCGGAGCUAACGCAUUAAGUUGACCGCCUGGGGACUACGAUCGCAAGAUUAAAACUCAAAGGAAUUGACGGGGACCCGCACAAGCAGCGGAGCGUGUGGUUUAAUUCGAGGCUACGCGAAGAACCUUACCAGGGAUUGACAUGUACGUAGUAGGGAAGUGAAAACGGACCGACCCUUCGGGGAGCGUACACAGGUGAUGCAUGGCUGUCGUCAGCUCGUGCCGUGAGGUGUCAGGUUAAGUCCUGUAACGAGCGCAACCCCUGUCGUGUGUUAUACGUGUCACACGAGACUGCCGGUGUCAAACCGGAGGAAGGCGGGGAUGACGUCAAGUCAGCAUGUCCUUCAUAUCCUGGGCUACACACACGCUACAAUGGUCGGGACAAUAGGCAGCCAAGCCGCGAGGCGGAGCUAAUCCUCUAAACCCGAUCUCAGUUCGGAUUGUAGGCUGCAACUCGCCUGCAUGAAGCCGGAGUUGCUAGUAACCGCGCGUCAGCAACAGUGCGGUGAAUACGUUCCCGGGUCUUGUACACACCGCCCGUCACGUCAUGGAAGCUGGCAACACCUGAAGCCGGUGGCCUAACCGCAAGGAGGGAGCCGUCUAAGGUGGGGUUGGUGACUGGGACGAAGUCGUAACAAGGUAGCUGUAGCGGAAGCUGCGGCUG
rnacentral:rRNA from 1 species